GACCUGUUAUCGCUUAAUUCGUCAGAAGUGGGGGACCCAAAUUUGUGCAUUGUCACUUGGGGUGAAUCCUUUUUUUAAAGGUAGGGCUACUCUCAUAGCCCGAAUCCGACAGCUAACCCCAUAAGCGUUUUGGAGAGGAGGU
rnacentral:sRNA from 3 species